GAUGAACGCUGGCGGCGUGCCUAAUACAUGCAAGUCGAACGGACAGACGCGGAGUUUGCGGGUCUGUCGAUAGCGGCGGACGGGAGAGUAACAUGUGGAUACCCUACCUAACUUACUGGGAUAACUUCGGGACACGGGCUCUAAUACGGGAGAAUAUCUUGAAGCGUGUUGUUCAGUAGAGAAUUUCGGUGUUGCGGUAGCUUAUAGCUGGAUACGCGCCGCAUUAGCUAGUUGGGAAGGAAACGGCGUACCAAGGCGGGGAAGCGUAGACGAACUGAUCGGGUGAUCGGCCACCCUGGAACUGAGACAGGGUCCAGAGUCCUACGGGAGGCAGCAGUAGGGAAUCGUCCGCAAUGGGCGAGAGCCUGACGGAGCAGCGCCGCGUGAGUGAUGAAGAUCUUCGGAUCGUGAAACUCUGCUUUGAGGGAAGAACAAAUGUGUAAGUAACUAUGCACGUCUUGACGGUACCUAAUCAGAAAGCCACGGCUAACUACGUG
rnacentral:rRNA from 1 species